rnacentral:lncRNA from 1 species
CCAACACCUCCCCUGUGGCGAUCAGAGCCGCGCGCUAGAUCCAACACCCUCCCCGAAAUCGCGGCGGAUUCCGGCGCCAGCGGCCCUGCUCCAGAUCUGCAUUCCGCGCAGGGGCUUCUCCUGACCACCUCGCGCCCUCGUCUCUCCAAGUAAACACCCGCUUCCCUUCCUCAUGAGUCACGAGCCUUGGCUUCCCUUCCUCGCGCAGGGGCUUCCAGUAACAAGUCUAGCAUUGUCGAGCGAGGAUACCGAGCAAGGAUGUGUGCCUGCUAUUUAAUUCUUGCAGUUGCGAUCAAAGCCAAGCCAUGCAGCAACAGUGUAGAUUUAGGUCCAAUGAGCAGAUGUUUAGUAGAAUAGUCUGUUGUUGAGUGUAGCAAGAUCGAUGAUUCAGUGAUAACAAAGUGACUUACCUUCUCCUUCAUCUGUGCACAUUCAAGGUUUACUCAGAGCAUCUGUUGCAACCUCUAAUGGAGACAAUUACUGCAUUAUUUCUGCAAAGCAGUUGUUUGGGAACUACUGAAUCGUUGCAUGCUAUCCAGCUAGGAUACGAGAUCCGUUUGGCCACCGUCCAUGAGAAGAUGAUGGAAAUGUGGAAAAGCAAUCAUUGUGAAAACCAUCUCUAAAUUGUGAAAACCGAGUCUCGUAUUGAUGUUUGCUGUCAGUUCCGGGACUGAUAUAUAUGCUUAUUAUGUGUAUUUUGAGACAGAUGGAUGUAAAUAGUUUUUUGGUAGACUUGUGUUCUGCAAUGGGUGGCCAUGUAUGUGUGAGCCCAUGGAUUAUACUAAUUCAAUAAGCUAGUGGUGGUGCUUGCAUGUUUGUGGGGGCCCUUGGAUUGCUAAUGUAAUAUUGCUAUGGAUUUUGAAAGGAUCGGGGCAGGGUUGGGUUG